CCUACGGGAGGCAGCAGUGAGGAAUAUUGGACAAUGGGCGUAAGCCUGAACCAGCCAAGUCGCGUGAGGGAUGAAGGUUCUAUGGAUCGUAAACCUCUUUUAUAAGGGAGUAAAGUGCGGGACGUGUCCCGGUUUGUAUGUACCUUAUGAAUAAGGAUCGGCUAACUCCGUGCCAGCAGCCGCGGUAAUACGGAGGAUCCGAGCGUUAUCCGGAUUUAUUGGGUGUAAAGGGUGCGUAGGCGGCCUUUUAAGUCAGCGGUGAAAGUCUGUGGCUCAACCAUAGAAUUGCCGUUGAAACUGGGAGGCUUGAGUAUGUUUGAGGCAGGCGGAAUGCGUGGUGUAGCGGUGAAAUGCUUAGAUAGCACGCAGAACCCCGAUUGCGAAGGCAGCCUGCUAAGCCAUGACUGACGCUGAUGCACGAAAGCGUGGGGAUCAAACAGGAUUAGAUACCCGUGUAGUC
rnacentral:rRNA from 1 species